rnacentral:rRNA from 1 species
CUCCAGGUGAUCCUGCCGGACCCGACUGCUAUCAGAGUGGGACUAAGCCAUGCGAGUCAACAUAGCAAUAUGUGGCAUACGGCUCAGUAACACGUAGUCAACAUGCCCAGGGGACGUGGAUAACCUCGGGAAACUGAGGAUAAACCGCGAUAGGUCAUCACUUCUGGAAUGGGUAAUGACUUAAAUCUAUAUGGCCCCUGGAUUGGACUGCGGCCGAUCAGGCUGUUGGUGAGGUAAUGGCCCACCAAACCUGUAACCGGUACGGGCUCUGAGAGGAGGAGCCCGGAGAUGGGCACUGAGACAAGGGCCCAGGCCCUAUGGGGCGCAGCAGGCGCGAAACCUCUGCAAUAGGCGAAAGCUUGACAGGGUUACUCUGAGUGAUUUCCGUUAAGGAGAUCUUUUGGCACCUCUAAAAAUGGUGCAGAAUAAGGGGUGGGCAAGUCUGGUGUCAGCCGCCGCGGUAAUACCAGCACCCCGAGUGGUCGGGACGUUUAUUGGGCCUAAAGCAUCCGUAGCCGGUUCUACAAGUCUUCCGUUAAAUCCACCUGCUUAACAGAUGGGCUGCGGAAGAUACUAUAGAGCUAGGAGGCGGGAGAGGCAAGCGGUACUCGAUGGGUAGGGGUAAAAUCCGUUGAUCCAUUGAAGACCACCAGUGGCGAAGGCGGCUUGCCAGAACGCGCUCGACGGUGAGGGAUGAAAGCUGGGGGAGCAAACCGGAUUAGAUACCCGGGUAGUCCCAGCUGUAAACGAUGCAGACUCGGUGAUGAGUUGGCUUAUUGCUAACUCAGUGCCGCAGGGAAGCCGUUAAGUUUGCCGCCUGGGGAGUACGGUCGCAAGACUGAAACUUAAAGGAUUGGCGGGGGAGCA